ensembl:lncRNA
GUGGCUCCUGCAGUUUUUUUUCAGAGAAAGCAGAGGGUUGGCUCUGCCCUCUCCUCAGACAGACCCUCUGCUUCCAGCCCCAUGGGUCAGCCCCUGCUGUAUGAAGACAGGAGGCAGGGGAAGACAAGGCAAAGGAGCUUCCAGAAUUGUCUUUGGGAUGUUAGGGAAAAGUGGCAGCUGUGAAUUCAACUACAGAUCCUCCCUGUCUUUGCUUUUUUUUUAACUGAUGAGUGCUUGGCGAAGUUCUGCUUAUUCUGCUGCCGCUGCCAAGGCAAAAGAGGAUACCUUGUACCGAAGUUACCGUCACACGGGGGAGCCUCUCUGUAGGACAAAUCCCUAGCACCACACCUGGCACUGAGUCAGUCCUUGAUAAAUACACAUCGUUUGGAUGAAGCAGCUGAGCCUCAGAGAGGAGCCGGGUCUUGGGAACAUGAGCUUCUACAUGGAGUAGACACCUGUGAUCUCGGUUCUUUGCACACCCAUCAGCCCUGCUCCUGGAUCCGGUCUCUUCACACUGGAUUCUGAGUGCAGAUGCCUACUGGUUCUUCACCUAGUGCUGGGAUUCCUGAGCUCCUCGCUGGCUAUCAGGGGAGGAGAGGGGAGGCUGUGCUCAGGGCACUGAUCAGACCGGAGGCCCUGGGGAUGCACCUGCCAAUUUCCCAGCAGCCAGAAUUGGGUUGUUUUCAGAAAUAAGCCAGAUUCUCAGUCAAGAUCUUCAAAGUCCAUGUGGGUGUACAGAAGGCUUUGGGGUGGAGGAAGCUACUCCUCCACUGCAACCAGGCUGAGGAGGCGCUGAGUGAAAAUGUGAAAAGAAGACGUCAUCAGGAGUGUCUAAGAAGAGAAAGGGAGUUGAACAAUUGUUACCGCUUCAGCCUGAGAUAAUUUUUCAGCUGAAUUGCUAAAAUAGGAAGAAUCUGGCCUUUUCUACUUUAGGAAAACAAUGUUCUGGAGAUGAAGCUUUUAAAGAAAAUGCUAUCUGAAUGUGUAUUGAAACAAGAAUAAUUGAGCAGCCAUUGUUCUGGCCCAUUCCUUGCAAGUCUGGAAGGUUUCUGAAGUUGAGGCUCUAAUUAAAAGAAAAUUUUUCUUCUCAGAUGCAUCUCAGUGGUAUUGUUCUGUUUUAUCCCAUGGGGAGCUUGCGGGUGCCAGGCCACCCACAGCAAGGAUGUCUGGACUCUGGGGUCUGUGUCUGAUGUGAACCUGGAGCGAGGCAGCCCCAGCAAAUGUCCGGAGGGUCACUGCGUGUCUGGUGGGGACAGAGGAUCUGAGGACGCUCGUCCACUUCACACUGCACGACAACAGUGGAAAGCACGAGCUUCCUCCUGCAGAGUCGUCACCCUCUCAGGGAGCCUGGGUCAGAGCUGCCCCUCUGCAGAGGGACCAGCGGACUCGCCGUGUGUUUCCAUGGGAGAUGCCCCAACCUCAGACACGAGGCUCUUCUCCAGGGUGUGGGUUCCAGGCAGGAAUGAGCCUCUUACAGGCGCUGUCAUGUGUCUGGGGGCACUUCGUGUUUCCUGGCCCAGGAGGUCUCAGGGGAGGACUGGGGCCAGAAAGGCAGGUGCAGGAGCGAGCGUGGACUUGAGUUCCCCUGACCUCCCUGGGCUCCUCCUCAGCUGGGUGGGUGUCAUCACAGUGCCUGCCUCUUGGGGGCGCUGUGGGGUUACAGGGGAUGAUGUGUCUCCUGGGUUUGCAGAGCUGUAAAGGGGGCUUUGCUCCGUGAGCAGAUGUGAGGGAGUGACCAGGUGGCAACCACGUCCCGAGUCAGUGAGGAUGGGCUGUGCACCUGGUC